rnacentral:lncRNA from 1 species
AGAAAACAAAGGGGAAAAGAAAAACAAAAACCUAGGGGGAGAAAUUCAAGGAAAAAUUGGUGAAAAUUCAAGGAAACAAGUGACCAAAGGUAAAAUUUCUUGAUUUUGACUUGUGCUUUACCUUUCCCAUGCAUUUCCCAUCAUUUUCCAUGGUUGAAUCAUGUGAUUUGAGGAUGAAUUCAAUUCUGGAAAAAUGGGUUAGGAGAGAGAAACUUGUUAGAUUAAUUUGAUUUUAAGUUAUGUUAGUGUUUUAAGUUAGUUUAGCAUAUUUAGGAACAAAACAACAAGAAAAGAAUUUAUUUUCCUCCAUUACCAUUAUUGGCUGAAUUUUCUAGGGGAAUAUUGGCUGAUGAUCUUGAUGUUUAUUUGAGGAAUUAUGAUGAAUAAUGAUGAAUUAUGAGUCUAGAAAAAUAAUGGGAAUUUUCGGAGCAAAAAUAUGAAUUUUUACCCAUUAGGGGUAUUUUCGUAAUUUGCUAUCGGGACUGAUAAUUUGCACCACACUGAGGGACAUUAAGUCAAUUUGGGUGCAAUUGAGGUAUAGAAACUGAAAAAAAUUAAUUUGAGAUUAAAUUGGACGCGUUAGUAAUUUAAUCGGGUAAUAGGCCGAAUUAGGUCAGCACCGCAUUUAAGCGGUAGUCGGAUAAGUUGCAUGUCAUAUCAUGCAUAUAUACCGAGCCUGAAUUGAUUUUAUAAUGGUCAAGCAUUGAUGUGGUGAAUUAUGUAUUGUACAUUGUGGAUAGGUGGUGAGCAAAUUACACUGGUAAAAGUACCAAAAUUGUGCUUGAAGACUGGGAUUAGGAGUACAUCGACUCCUAGAACUGUGAGUGGACAAUUUAUCGUCUUAAAUAUCUAGAGUAAUUAUACUUGUUUGAUGCUUUUAUUGAAUGGUGAAUUUAAAUUAUAAAAUAUUAUGUUUUCCAAUUAAAAUGUUUUUUAAUAAAAAUGAGAUUUAUACUGGUUUUGAAAUCAAAUAUUGUUUUGGGAAAAUUGAGUAUAUGGAGACUGUGUUGAAAUUUAUGAUUUUAUAUGUUAUUGAAAUUGUGGCUUAUGACACUAUGGUAGCAUGAUGGCUAAAUUUUUGAGGUUGGCAUGAAAUAUAUGAACAGUUUUGGAUUGGUCUUGGUAGACUGGAUUACAUUUUAUUCGCCAUAUUAUGCUACUGGAAUUUUUAUGGGUCUGGUGGUAUAUUAAACGGUCACUGCAGUGGUGGGGGUUUCCGUGGUUUGCCUAUGAGAGGGGCACGGUAACUCAAUUAUAUAUUUACCUCCGGGGGGAGAUGUUGGGUGAAGUAUCUCCUGAGGUAUGAUUUGAGUGCACCUCACGUUCGGGCCACCACGUGAGAGUGAGACUCAGCCAACGCCAAGAAACGGCUGUGUGUUAGAUGUGAAAACAUGUUUAUGGGUAUGGGUCAUUGAACAGCCUUGGCGAUCUCAGUGGGAUACCUUGACGAAGGUACCCGCGAGAAUGAUUCUGGCAGGGGCUAAGUUUAAGAAAUUCAUAAGCCGAGAAAUUUUGAUGAAAAGAAAUUUUUUUGGUAUAGAUUGAAACGAAUUUUGUGUUAUGAACAUUAUUGAGAUAUAACGUUUUUAUAUUGUCUCCAUCUACUCGGCUUUAGAUGCUUUUGAUGGUAAUUGUUUUACUCACUGGGAUUAUUUAAUCUCACCCCUAUUCCUAUCCAUUUUUCAGGCUCAGGACAGUUGUUUGAUAGUUGAUUAAGACGAGAAUUAAUCUCGGAGUUGCAUCAUAGGAAGUAAGGGUUCGUAGCUCUACACCUUCUUGGUUAGUUGAGAGCCCACGUGUCAUUGUAAACUAAAUUUCAUACUUUAAUUAUCUUUAUUAUUAUAUGAAUAAAUUUAUUUUACUCUUACGCUGUAAAAGUAAUUUUAUUCUUCAGUUAUUUGAUUUAAAGUAUGUAUGAAUAUAUUUAGCUUUACACCAUAUUUUUGGCGAGUUUCGAUAUUUUCAAAAAAAAAAAUGAUGAAAAUGCCCCUGUGAGCUAGAAAAUAAUAUUUUAUUAUUUUGAGUUGAAAGCAACUUAUGAUUUCUUGAAAUGCGAGAUUUAAUAACUGUCACUCACCGGGGAGAUGCGGGAGUUGAUGCUAAGCUUUACGGGGUUUCGAUCGGUAUUCGGGGUAAUGAGUGCUUAUCGGGACGUCGCGGCGGUUGUCACAGGCUCAAUGGGAGUUUCGGGUCGUGACAUGAGGUGUAGUCGACCUUUAAUGAGUUGGUAGACAUGUUGAACUAGUGGGAGGCUAUGUUGGAAGGUUGAGGAAUGAGGCAUGUGAGCUCAAGGAUGAGCUUGUUGCCCUUAAGGAAACCAGAAGGGGUCGUGUGUCUCUUAACCAGAUGGGGGCUCGAUUGAAGGGGGCCCAAAUUUGAGUAAUUUCGAAACCAAAGGGAGGCCAAGGAGAUCGAUAAUUUCUUGAGGAGUCUAGAACAACAUUUUCAAGCCAUGGGGAUCAUGGAGAAUGUUUUGUGCACCUACAUUGUUGUAAUGUACCUAGUGUAUGCAGUUUUGCUGUGGUUGAAGUGACAAUGUAAUGACAAGCUUGGGGGAGUGAUCAUUCACACUUGGGAAGCAUGGGGAGUGAUAAUUCACACUUGGGAAGCAUUCUUUAGGGAGAUUUGAUAACAAUUCUACCUUGAAUAAGCCAAGGACAAAGCAAGGGGGAAGUUAUAAAUGUUGGUCUAAAAGGCCAAUAAAUGGUUUUCUUUUAUAUGGUAUGAUAUCUGGGUAGAGCAUUCAUGGAUGAUUAUCAUGUCUUUACUACAUGGAAUAUGUCAAGUUUUUCAUAUUGGAGUAUGUGAAGAAGCCUUGCUUUUUUAUUGUGAUUGUAAGGUUUUGAGAUUUUUUGACUCCACAGAGUAUUUGCCAAUUCAAUUAUCUUAUGAGGUUAAGGCCGAUUGACAUGUCCAUUAUCCAUGGAAGUAUGUCUUUGAAAGGUAUUGUGCUUU